ACGCUAAGGGCCUGUUUGGAUACACAGUAAAAUAUCUCCACGGAAUUUUUAAACUGUGGUUUCGGUCUAGAUAAAAUAAAGAAUCCUGCAAUUCUAAAAAAUUCCACGGAUUCAAUUUUUAAACUGUUUGGAUACGCAUUGUACAAUUUUACAGAAUUUUUCUAAAUUUUAAGAUUAAAAGUUAAAAUUUAAAAUUUCAAAAAAAAUUUUAAAUUUAAAAUUUGAUAUGUGAAAUGUGAAAUUUUGAAUUUUGAAUUUUCAAAUUUGAAAUUUACAAAUUUAAAAUUUAAAAUUUAAAAUUUAAAAUUUAAAAUUUAAAAUUUAAAAUUUAAAAUUUAAAAUCUAUGUUGAAAUUGAAAAUUUUAUGUUGAAAUUUAAAAGUUAGAACUUGAUGCAUUUUUUUUAAUAAGGGAGCUCACGAAUGGUGGAAUUUUUUUUCCUUUGAUUAGAGUGGAUUAUACUUUUACUCUAUUUUUUGGAGUAUAGUUUAACUAUACUCCAAAAAUUACGUUACUUUUUUUCCUCCCAAACACUUCAUAGAAUAUUUUUCCUACCGCCGUAGUAUAGUUUAACUAUGCUACGUUUUCAGAAGUAUCCAAACGGGGCCUAAGUCUUUUAAAUCAGGAUCUGGAUGAUAAGGAUGAGACGAAUCUCAUAUCACUUGUUGCUUAUAAGUAUGGGCAUAAAGAAAAGAGGAAUAUGACACUUCCUGAAAGUAGGGUGUCAUAUCUAGAGUCUUUUAUUUUAUGAGAAAGUCCUCAGGCUUAUUCAAUGCACGUCAGGACUCUAUUUGAAUACGCUAAUAUUUUAUUUGGUUUAUCUUUUUCAACUUACUUUAAAAACUUAUAUUAUUUAAUAGAUAAAAAAUAUAAUCAAAUAUUUAGAAAGAAUAUUAUAGUCGAUCUUUAAGUUAUUUUUUAGGACUAAAAUAAAUUAUUUCAUAAUUAAUUUUAGAAAAAACUUCAAAAACCCCCUCUGUGGUUCCACACUUUUUCAUUUUAGUACCCUGUGGUUUAAAGUGUAUCAAGUUAGUACCCUGUGGUUUUGCACUUUAUCACUUUAGUACCCUGUGGUUUCACACUUUAUCACUUUAGUACCCUAUAGUUUAAAAAACCACAGGGUACUAAUUUGAUACAAAAUCAAAACCACAGGGUACUAAAGUGAUAAAGUGAGAAACCACAAUGUACUAACUUGAUACAUUUUAAACCACAUGGUACUAAAGUGAAAAAAAUUGAGACCACAAGGGGGGUUUUUGAAGUUUUCCCUUAAUUUUAGUUAUCCUACCAACUUUAAGGAAUAAAAAUCAAACUACUAACUUUCAAUCAUACAAAAAUAUUUUUACAAUAAAUAAAUUAUUAUUGAAUAUUUUAUUUUGUCAUCCAAGUAGAACUUAAGUAAGGAGUCCGACUACUAUACUCUUAUGAGUAUAGACCUUUUUAUACUCAAAUAUUUUCGGCCGUUAGAUUUAUCCCUUUGACCAUACUAUUAAACCAACCAACCACUCAAUCCUAAUGAACCACUAUCAUUCUAACCACACAUCUUUUUAUUUAACGGUCGAAAAUUUAUAAGUAUAAAAAGAUCUAUACUCAUAAGAGUAUAGUAGCUCUAGCCCUUAAGUGAGAUCUAAGUUUACAAC
rnacentral:lncRNA from 1 species